AGUUUCUGCUGCCCCCAUGCUGUGCCUGACACACUUGAUAUGGCAAAAACCAGGACAGCCUUUCUCACGUUGUCCAGCUGUGCCAACAAUUUCACUUCCAAGCAGAGGUUGAGGAACAUUGAGGUCCUUUGCACUUUUUGGUUAUAUGAUGAUCAACAAUGCUGCUAUGAAUAUUUGCCUAUUUUAGGAAUGGGCAGAAGCUGGAAACAUUCCCCUUAAAAACUGACACAAGACAAGGAUGUCAUCUCUCACCACUCCUUUUCAACUGAGUAUUGGAAGUUCUGGCCAGGGCAAUCAGGCAAGAAAAAGAAAUAAAGUGCAUUCAAAUAGGAAGAAAGGAAGUCAAACUAUCCCUGUUUGCAGAUGACAUGAUCCUAUAUCUUGAAAACCCCAUCAUUUCAGCCCCAAAGCUUUUUAAGCUGGAUAAGCAACUACGGCAAAGUCUCAGGAUACAAAAUUAAUGUGCAAAAAUCACUAGCAUUCCUAUACACCAUUCAUACAUUCCUAUACACCAUUCAUACAUUCAUACAGCAUUCCUAUACACCAACAACAGUUAUUCCGAGAGCCAAAUCACGAACUCCCAUUCACAAUUGGCACAGAAAGAAUAAAAUACCUAGAAAUACAGCUGACAAGGGAAGUGAAAGAUCUCUACAAGGAGAACUACAAACCACUACUCAAAGAAAUCAGAAACAACACAGACAAAUGGAAAAACAUUCCAUAUUCACUGAUAGGAGUAAUCAGUAACAUUAAAUGGUGGCUAUACUGUCCAAAGCAAUUUAUAGAUUCAAUGCUAUUCCCAUUAAAGUACCACUGACAUUCUUCAUAAAACUAGAAAAAAACAAUUUUAAAGUUCAUACGGAACAACAACAACAAAAAAGUCCUGAAUAACCAAGGCAAUCGUAAGCAAAAAGAACAAAGCUGGAGGCAUCACACUACCCAAUUUCAAAUUAUGCUACAGGGCUACAGUUAUCAAAACCACAUGGUACUGGUACAAGAACAGACACAUAGACCAAUGGAAUAGAAUAGAGAGCCCAGAAAUAUGUCCUCACACCUAUAACCAUCUGAUCUGUAAUAAAGUUAACAAAAACAAAAAAUGGGGAAAGGACUUCCUAUUCAAUAAAUGGUGCUGGGAUAACUGGCUAGCCAUGUGCAGAAGAUUGAAACUGGACGCCUUUCCUUAAGCCAGAUACAAAAAUCAACUCAAGAUGGAUAAAGUAUUUAAAUUUAAAACCCAAAACUAUAAAAACCCUGAAAGACAACCUAGGCAAUACCAUUCAGGACACAGGCACAGGCAAAGAUUUCAUGACGAAGAUGCCAAAAGCAAUUGCAACCAAAGCAAAAAUUGACAAAUGGGAUCUAAUUAAACUAAAGAGCUUCUGCACACCAAAAGAACCUAUCAACAGAAUGAAUAGAUCCCUACAGAAUGAGAGAAAAAUUUUUCAAGCUAUGCAUCUGACAAAGGUCUAAUAUGCAGCAUCUAUAAGGAACUUAAACAAAUUUACAAGAAAACAAUCAACCCCAUUAAAAAGUGGGCAAAGGAUGUGAACAGACACUUCUCAAAAGAAGACAUACAAGCAGUCAAUAGUCAUAUGAAAAAAAGCUCAACAUCACUGAUCAUUAGAGAAAUGCAAAUGAAAACCACAAUGAGAUACCAUCGCACACUAGUCAGAAUGGCUGUUAUCAAAAAGACAAAAAAUAACAGAUGCUGAUGAGGUUGUGGAGAAAAAGGAAUGCUUAUACACCAUUGAUGGGAGUGUGAAUUAGUUCAACCAUUGUAGAAGAGAGUGUGGUGGUUCCUCAAAGACUUAAAGUCAGAAAUACAAUUUGACCCAGCAAUCCCAUUACUGGGUAUAUACUCAAAGGAAUGUAAAUCAUUCUAUUCUAAAGGCUCAUGUAUGAGUACUUUCAUUGCAGCACCAUUCGCAAUAGCAAAGACAUUGAAUCAACCCAAAUGCCCAUCAAUGAUAGACUGGAUAAAGAAAAUGUGGUACAUACACACCAUAGGAUACUAUGCAAGCAUAAAAAUGGACGAGAUCAUGUCCUUUGCAGGGACAUGGAUGGAGCUGGAGGCCAUUAUCUUCUGCAAACUAACACAGGAACAGAAAAA